UUCGUUCGUUUUUUCUUUCCUUGAAAUGAUCAACGGGAGGGAGGGGGAUCACGAAUCUGCCAUUUUCGUAAAAUUGAAGUAAGCCCGAAUGUACAAGAUAUGCUUCCGUUACGUAGGACUCCGUUUCCCAAGAAGGCCAGGUCUCUGCAAGGCAGACGCACUGAUCACUGAUCAGCGUGCAGACAAAGAUUGGCAUUUACGCAGAAAGAACGGCGUCAAUUUAUGAUGCUCAAUUUAGGGAGAGAGCGAGAGAAUUGGAUUUCAAGUGGGAGAAAAGUAGGUGAAAUUUGUCAGUGAGAUGAGCGAGGCAGAAAACUGCACAAAAUAAUGCCUUACAUGAUCGAGAGGGAGAGAGGGAGAAAGCCGAUCUCCUGCCAGAGAAGAACUCUGUGACAUUUUUCAGGAAAGUGAAAACAGGAGAUGCGUAGAAAGAAUAAGAUUGUGAUGAGAGAGAGAGAGAGAGGGGUAAGGCUAUGUGUGUAAGAAGGCGCUUUCUUGGAGUGUCAUGCACGCCAGAUGUUGAUUCCCGUUCCUUGCGGCACGUCCUCACCCACCCCUCCGUUUCCCCUUAAACGGCACGGGAAGCUCUUUGUGAGUUCGGUUGGGAUCCGACUUUGAGUACCCUCCAUCCCCACCUCCACCCUUUCCCUCUGAACAGGUUGGGGUUGCAAGAGAUGAACCAACCGAACAGCUUCUCUGGCAACAAAUGGUGGCUGCAGGCUGAUUCAGGACAUCGCGAGAGGAUGACUUCAGUGGUGCCCAAUACAAACUUCUCGCCCAGCUCUUCUCCUGUGGUUCAGAAGGGCCUGCCGAGGAAGCCUGAUCCUUUGGGUCUCGAAGGGAGAGAGGGGUGUGAAAUUGUUUCCGAGAACAAAGGGGAAGUGCCACUUGAUGAGAGGUAUGGAAGGUCUCGGUGGUACUUGGCAGAGGAAAAGGAAUUGGCCCUCAUGAUUGCAGAUAGGCAGUCAGAGCCUCUUCAGAAUUGUGACCUUCCGACUCCAUAUCAGAGGAGAAGUCUGAAGAAUUCCCUGGAGGGAGAGAGGAACAAGCCUGUUGCACCAACAAAAUCUGUUUCGUCUGAUUAUGACUAUUCUCUGUUACAGAGCAUUGGAGGCAGAAUUACCGAAACUUCAGAAUGUACGACUGAGCAUCCUGACAAGAAACUUGAUUUGCUGAAAGCACUUCAACUCUCACAGACGCGCGCAAGGGUAGCAGAGAGAAAAGCUAGUAUUAUGAGCAUGGAAAACGAAAAUCUACUGAACUUGUAUUUCAAAGGUUCUGCUCGGAUCUUUGCUUACCGGCAAUGGGUGAAGCUACUUGAACUGGAGAUCUUGCAGCUACAAUCGCAGGGUGCGGUUUCUCAGUCCAAUGGUAGUUCCGAUUGCUCUGAAAUGUCCUCUGAUAUAAACGGCAAAAAGAAUCAAGUCGACAAUUAUUCUAACAGGGCAUGGUAUUGGGCUGUUACUCUCUGCUUGAGUUUGGCAAGUGUAGGCGUUGUACUAACAUGGAGAAGAGGAUGGCGAUUGAGUGGCCUCCGUGGUGAUGAACUGCCAAGACUUGGCGUUCGGCUAUAUCCUUCUGCCGGGUUUGUUAGAGUUUGAAGCUGUUGACACAUAGUCUACUGUUUGGUUGGUUACCUGUGUGGUAUCUGAAAUGUAACCAGGUCUUUUCGCUCUGUCUGCAGCCCAAAUACAGGAAACUGGGUUUUCAUUCACAGGCAUCCAUUUCUCCAGUGUGCAAUUCCAAGCAAGUGGUGCCGUCUUAUUCCUGAUCCUGCUUCAAAUAUUAUCCGAAAACUUCUAAUUGGGAUCUUACAAAAUUAUUGUUAUUUUCUGCGCUGCAAGUUGAUUAUAGAAGCACACUGAUUUUUCCUUUCUCAUUGUUGUUCGUCUCUGGUUACAGCCAUAAAUUUGAUGCUAAUUCUUGAGGUUAUUCACUUUUGGGCUUGCCUGUGCCUGUUGAGUCAUGGUUUAUGCUCAUUCGGAGCUUCCCGUAUUGCAGUCGAAUGCAAGAUUGAAUUAAUCGGGAAACAUGAAUAACAUUUUAAACGGCAUGCUUUAUGCAAGCAUGGACAUAGUUCUCUUGUCAAGAUUGUCUUUUUAGGAAAUCUUUGCAAGUUGCAGCAGCCGGAGGUACAGCAAAAUUAUGGGAAGAUGAUUUCACACCUCUUGAGUUCUUCAUUUUAUGUGCCUUGAAGCUUCCAGGAAGCAAUUUUAGUUACUUGGGGCUCAAUACCCAAUAGCAAGGUCCCUUCCUAAGGCUGAAAAUUAGGCAUCCGGUAGUUGAGCUUCAUAACAAACUGCCUCAAAUCUACAGAUGAAGUGGAGCUUAAUGGAAUGGAUUGACUAGCGCAGUUUUUAUUUUUGAUGUAGAUGUGAAAAUGGAAGAACUUCUGCCGGAAUCAGUCAAUGAAAGUCCUCCUUUUGAAGCCUGAAGGUAUUUGA